AACAUACCUGGGUCCUUGCACUUUUCAGGAAUGUGCGGGACUGACUUACCAAUAAAAGCUGAUACAUUCCUUCCCAUGCUGAUUUGUUCAUUGCCCUUCAUCUUCCUCUUGUGUGUGCACAAGUCCUUCAAGAAUUUGGCAUAUUUUGGUAUCUGCUUGAUGGCAUCGAGUAGAGGUAUGUUCACCUCUACCUUCCUGAAGGUCUCC
rnacentral:lncRNA from 1 species